GAAAAGAAAGACAAACCCUCCUUACCUCUGGAACAGCCUUCAUUCCUGUCACUGAGCAGGCUUUGCCUCUGUGGUUGCCACAGCUGUCGACUGUGCUUACUUGUUUACUGUCAGCACUUGUUCCGUGCUCAAGGCACACUGCUGAGUUUAGAGACAAUCUCCUCUUCCCAGCUUGGCUGAUUGCUGUGGGGAGGAGAAGAGCAAGGAAGAGCUCUGAGGAAAACACCCUUGAAGAAAAUGGGAGGGAGGGAAACUGUGACAUUUCUGCAAUUCUCCACCCACCUUCUCCACAAGAAAAUUAGCUGCAUUGUUCCCUUCUGCAAUUCCUUCUGACCGUGGGUCCUUCUGGUUGUUGGCUCUGUUUGUUUGUUUGUUUGUUUGUUUGUUGGAGUUAGACUGAAAUCUAUGUGAAGAGAAGGAUGUGUUUCUACAUCUCCCCUCAGCUACUUGCUUCUUUCCUCUCUAACGGCCUUGCUAUCGAAGCCUGUUUGGGUCUGAUAUUUUCCCUUUUCUCAGCCUGCUCAACCUGAUGUCCCACGGACUGGAGGCCUCUGUCUAUAGCGAGAUGCUGUGGGCUAUGGAUACUAUUGUUCCUCCUCUUCCAAAAGAAAGGCCGACGUGCUGACUUGGAUUUGGCUCUCUCUGAUCUGCAUCCAGCUGUGCAUUCCAGCGGCGAACGCAGGUCCAGGAAAGAACGUAACAGAGCAGAGAUCUAUCAGAACCACCAAGGGUCAGAAAUGCAUCAGAGAGACCUCUUUGGGAAAAGACCAGAUGACAACAUACAACUAGAAAAGGCCUUUGAGGGCUUCCACAGCAUACUUCUUCACCCUGAAGGUGCCAUAUGAGGCGACCACUAUGGUGACAGUGGUUGUAAGCAAAUCUCCAGUCAGAGGUCAAAUCAUAAAGACUGUGGUGCAUGGGCUGCAUCCCCCUGCAGGUAGCUCAUGGAGUUCCUCUUCCCGCAGGUCUGGAGCUGCAGUGAGCAUAGAAGUGCAGCAAAGCCUUUCCCAGCUCAGCAGCAAGCACUGAAGGCACACGCCCACUACUCUCCAGGAAGAUGGAGCGGCUGCAGUGGGAAUGGAGAGGAACGGGGAGCAGUGGUGCAGGGGUGCUGGGGUGCAAGUAGCACUUCCUAAAGGCAGCUGGGGUCCUGGUGAUGCUUCCUGCUGUGGGGCACCACUCAGCUCCUGCGGGGGUAGGGGCUACCUGGGGACACGGCAUC